AUUGAACGCUGGCGGCAGGCCUAACACAUGCAAGUCGAGCGAGCGGCGGACGGGUGAGUAAUAUGUGGGAAACUGCCUGAUGGAGGGGGAUAACUACUGGAAACGGUAGCGAUUACCGCAUACCCUCAGAUAUGCCCCGAUGGGAUUAGCUAGUAGGUGGGGUAACGGCUCACCUAGGCGACGAUCCCUAGCUGGUCUGAGAGGAUGACCAGCCACACUGGAACUGAGACACGGUCCAGACUCCUACGGGAGGCAGCAGUGGGGAAUAUUGCACAAUGGGCGCAAGCCUGAUACAGCCAUGCCGCGUGUGUGAAGAAGGCCUUCGGGUUGUAAAGCACUUUCAGCGGGGAGGCGUUACCCGCAGAAGAAGCACCGGCUAACUCCGUGCCAGCAGCCGCGGUAAUAC
rnacentral:rRNA from 1 species